ACAGGACAUGCCAAUGUUUAAAGAUAAUUUUGUUGAGAGAAGAUGAUCGUCUCCCAAAUCUAGAAAUAAAUUUAAAUCUAUGGUUGUAACGGACCGUUUUGCACAAAAGGGGAAAAAAAACGCUUAGACGAUAAUCCCCUUUCAGAGACAGGCACAGCUACUGUAGAAUCAUCAAAACUCACGAACUGAAUACAAGUGAAUGCUCC